AGUGAACGCUGGCGGUAGACCUAACACAUGCAAGUCGAACGGCAGCACAGUAAGAGCUUGCUCUUACGGGUGGCGAGUGGCGGACGGGUGAGGAAUACAUCGGAAUCUACUUUUUCGUGGGGGAUAACGUAGGGAAACUUACGCUAAUACCGCAUACGACCUACGGGUGAAAGCAGGGGAUCUUCGGACCUUGCGCGAUUGAAUGAGCCGAUGUCGGAUCAGCUAGUUGGCGGGGUAAAGGCCCACCAAGGCGACGAUCCGUAGCUGGUCUGAGAGGAUGAUCAGCCACACUGGAACUGAGACACGGUCCAGACUCCUACGGGAGGCAGCAGUGGGGAAUAUUGGACAAUGGGCGCAAGCCUGAUCCAGCCAUACCGCGUGGGUGAAGAAGGCCUUCGGGUUGUAAAGCCCUUUUGUUGGGAAAGAAAAGCAGCAGGUUAAUACCCCGCUGUUCUGACGGUACCCAAAGAAUAAGCACCGGCUAACUUCGUG
rnacentral:rRNA from 1 species